AUUUUGUUCACUGGAUUAACUGGUUGAUCUCAUGCUGGUUCUGGUUGGGAUUCCUCCUCAUGCCAGCCUGCCUUGAUUUCCCCGUUCCUCCUUGAACUCUCUGUUUCAUCACACAGAGGCAUCUUAAAUGCCUUGUUCGUUCAUUUACUUGUUUAUUUUCAUCUUCCUCCCACCCCCCCACCCUGAAUUCAAGUUCUUCAAAACAGAAACCAGGACCGUUACAGUAUUUCACAAAAUGGAAAUGCAGGCCCUCUUGCUCAAAAAUUGUUAUGAAUUUCACGAUGGUGACAUUAGAGCAGUAAACCAGGGAGAGGCCCUUCUAAGUGUGGGAUUCUGAUUGAGGACAAAUGUAGCACAGAUUGGUUACCUCCUGGAAAGGACUUGUGCAGACCCAGCUAGGGUACCGCCGUGCCCAGAACAGUGCCUAGCAGACAGCGAAUGCUCGAUACACACCGAAGAAUGGACGAUGCAGCCUCUGCCACCCCGCAGGGUGGCAACCUUCUUUUCACCGUUACCAGGAGAGACCAGGCAUCUCUUGGUGUGACGCAGGCUAUAUUCUACUAAGCAUUAAUUGAUCAAUCGAGUGAACGAAUGAACAAAGGAAAUAUUUGAAGCAUGAUGAGGGCUUAGAGAAGGGAGAGAUUACUUUGCUUGAACUAGAUGAGACAGGGCUUCAGGGACAAAGGGUAGCUCUAUUUUUAACAAUUCGUAGAUUUAAAUAGGGGAGAAGUGGGCAUUGCAGCCAGAGGCAGCGAGUGUGGAGCUGCAUCGCCCCACCUGUGUUCCAGGAAUGUGGGGUGCAUACAGGAAUGCAGUGGGAAAUGCUCUGGUGUUGGAGGCUGCCCUAUUUUCCUCUCCAGCUUGAGUUGAGACUUCCCUUGGAGAUCUUCCUCACAGCAGUGGAACAGCCAGGUGCAUUCCAGAAUGCUAAGAACCAGAGGAGAAGGGCAUGCUUCUGACCAUGGAUUUUUACUUUUGAAAACUGAAGGAUCUAAGAUUUCUCCUCUGGUUCAGGAAGUGAGAGCAGAAUCAGACAGAAAAGAUGAACGCAGUGAGAAAGGAUACAUUGGAAGAAGUGAACUCAAGAUCCACCUUGGUCUUCAAAUGGCCAGUGGAUUACACCAACGCCCUUGCUACAACUCUCCUUCGGUGUUUUGAGAUGUCACCUUGAGAAUCUACUGAAGGCCCGCCUGUAGGUGGAACUGUCUCAGGACUUGUACUCAAGUCUGCUCAAAAACGGAGUCUUCAUGUGACUAGCUGACCUGUGACUACUGACCAGUGAUGUCACGGAAAGAGAGGGAGUCCCGUCUCCUGGCUGAACUUGACCCUGUCUGGGCGGACUAUGAAUGGCCGUAACUAAAGGCUGAACACUCACUGGAGCAGGGCAUGGGACGUGGGAAAUUCACAUCCCCUCUGGUUCUCAUUUUCAAGUGCACGCAAGUGGGGAAAACUAAGCCACUGGUUUUCAGACUGAAAUGCAUGGACGUUCAGUGGUUCCUGAGAACCGCUACAGGUAAAGGCAAUCCAGCUGUGUGCAAGUGUCUGACUCCAGAACUGCCCCAUCUCUGACUUUGGGCUUUGAGGAGAUGGGUUAAGGGCAAACCUCGGGGAAUCCCACCUGGCACAGAGUAGAGAAAGCAUCUGGAACUUGUUAUGCAGGAGUUGGCACGAGCUGGGCAUCUCUCCAAGCUCAGGAGGUUUCACGGAAAUUCCUAGAUGAGAGAUGUUUACAAGUUGUGUCCCCAGAUAAACCAUCAUGUUUUCCCCUAAGAGGUCUCUCAAGGUCUCCAUCGAAGCCAGUAUGCUGGGUCAUAACAGCUGUAAGCAGAGAUGCUUCUGACCUCACUGAUGAGAAGAGCGCCGACUGCCUAGCUUGUGUCAUUAGGGGACUUUUAAUGACGAUAAACGUGUCUUCCUGCAUUCUCCUUCAGCCUUGUCUACAAAACCAUUUUCCUUCAGAUUCUAAGGACUGGCCAAGGCACUUUUCCUAUCCACAGUUGAUCUAAUAAUCUUCUCUUUUUUUUUUUUUUUUUUUUUUUUUUUUGUGGUAGCUUGCUGAAGUCAAAGAGGCUCUGACCAACAGGAAAUACUUGAUCACUCCACUAAGAAAAUGUCAGAGAAAGAGGAAAUACCCACACAGA